AGUGAACGCUGGCGGUAGGCCUAACACAUGCGAGUCGAACGGCAGCACAGUAAGAGCUUGCUCUUACGGGUGGCGGGUGGCGGACGGGUGAGGAAUACAUCGGAAUUUACUUUUUCGUGGGGGAUAACGUAGGGAAACUUACGCUAAUACCGCAUAGGACCUACGGGUGAAAGCAGGAGAUCUUCGGACUUUGCGCGAUUGAAUGAGCCGAUGUCGGAUUAGCUAGGUGGCGGGGUAACGGCCCACCAAGGCGACGAUCCGUAGCUGGGCUGAGAGGAGGGUCAGACACACUGGAACUGAGACACGGUCCAGACUCCUACGGGAGGCAGCGGUGGGGAAUAUUGGACAAUGGGCGCAAGCCUGAUCCAGCCAUGCCGCGUGGGUGAAGAAGGCCUUCGGGUUGUAAAGCCCUUUUGUUGGGAAAGAAAAGCAGCAGGUUAAUACCCCGCUGUUCUGACGGUACCCAAAGAAUAAGCACCGGCUAACUUCGUG
rnacentral:rRNA from 1 species